GUCUAUAGCCAUACCACCCUGAACGUGCCCAAUCUUGUCUGAUCUUGGAAGUGAAGCAGGGUUGGACCUGGUUGUUACUUGAAUGGGAGAAGUGUUCACAUGCUAACGUAU
rnacentral:rRNA from 1 species